rnacentral:rRNA from 1 species
AGCGAACGCUGGCGGUAGGCCUAACACAUGCAAGUCGAACGGCAGCACAGUAAGAGCUUGCUCUUACGGGUGGCGAGUGGCGGACGGGGGCGGAAUACAUCGGAAUCUACUUUUUCGUUUGGGCUAACGUAGGGAAACUUACGCUAAUACCGCAUACGACCUACGGGUGAAAGCAGGGGAUCUUCGGACCUUGUGCGAUUGAAUGAGCCGAUGUCGGAUUAGCUAGGUGGCGGGGUAGAGGCGCUCCAAGGCGACGAUCCGUAGCUGGUAUGAGAGGGUGAUUAGGCAGACUGGAAGUGAGACAGAGCCGAGACUCCUGCAGUGGGACGCAGUGGGGAAUAUUGGAGGAUGGGGGAAAGGGUGAUCCAGCCAUACCGGGUGGAGGAAGACGGCGUUCGGGUUGGAGAAUGAUUUUGUUGGGAAAGAAAAGCAGCUGGUUAAUACCCCGCUGUUAUGACGGUACCCAAAGAAUAAGCACCGGCUAACUUCGUG